rnacentral:rRNA from 1 species
UACGGGGGGGGUAAGCGUUGUUCGGAAUUACUGGGCGUAAAGGGCUCGUAGGCGGCCAACUAAGUCAGACGUGAAAUCCCUCAGCUUAACUGGGGAACUGCGUCUGAUACUGGAUGGCUUGGAUUCGGGAGAGGAAUGCGGAAUUCCAGGUGUAGCGGUGAAAUGCGUAGAUAUCUGGAGGAACACCGGUGGCGAAGGCGGCAUUCUGGACCGAGAUUGACGCUGAUGCGCGAAAGCCAGGGGAGCAAACGGG